rnacentral:rRNA from 1 species
GGACGAACGCUGGCGGCGUGCUUAACACAUGCAAGUCGAGCGGUAAGGCCCUUUCGGGGGUACACGAGCGGCGAACGGGUGAGUAACACGUGGGUGACCUGCCCUCAGCUCUGGGAUAAGCCUGGGAAACCGGGUCUAAUACCGGAUAUGACUCCAUGACGCAUGUUGUGGGGUGGAAAGCCUUGUGCGGCUGAGGAUGGGCCCGCGGCCUAUCAGCUUGUUGGUGGGGUGAUGGCCUACCAAGGCGACGACGGUAGCCGGCCUGAGAGGGCCGACCGGCCACACUGGGACUUGAGACACGGCCCAGACUCCGUAC